ACAUGAGAGUUUGAUCCUGGCUCAGGAUGAACGCUGGCGGCGUGCUUAACACAUGCAAGUCGAGCGGAAAGGCCCUUCGGGGUACUCGAGCGGCGAACGGGUGAGUAACACGUGAGUAACCUGCCCCAGACUUUGGGAUAACCCUC
rnacentral:rRNA from 1 species